rnacentral:rRNA from 1 species
AUCGAACGCUGGCGGCAGGCCUAACACAUGCAAGUCGAGCGAGCGGCGGACGGGUGAGUAAUGUAUGGGGACUGCCCGAUAGAGGGGGAUAACUACUGGAAACGGUAGCUAAUACCGCAUACUAUCGGAUAACCCAUAGGGGAUUAGCUAGUAGGUGAGGUAAUGGCUCACCUAGGCGACGAUCCCUAGCUGGUCUGAGAGGAUGAUCAGCGCAAAUGGGAAUUGGGCACGGCCCCGACUCCUACGGAGGAAGGAGGGGGGAAGAUUGCACAAUGGGCGCAAGGCUGAUGCAGCCAUGCCGCGUGUAUGAAGAAGGGCCGAGGGUUGUAAAGUACUUUCAGUCGGGAGGCGUUACCGACAGAAGAAGCACCGGCUAACUCCGUGCCAGCAGCCGCGGUAAUUC